rnacentral:lncRNA from 7 species
AUACAUUACAGCUCACAGCAAUCCAACGGGAACAGCUUUGAACUACUGAAGCCAUCGCCUCACCUCAGCUCCACACCGAUUCUCAGUCAAGUUUUUGUUGGAAAAUUCAUUCUCAGCAAAAAAUGAAAAGCAAUUCUCAGCACGAAUAUGCCUUCCCCUGGAGUUUUCUUCAGCUUCCCUUGGAGAAAGAAAUUGUUUGAUCCAGCUAAAGGAUACAUGAAUGAAGUGUCUGUUUAAAAUCUUUUUGUAGGGUUUUAAGCCCUGUUUCAUUCCAUUUGAAUAAGAAACAUGCAUGUACUGUAAAUAUCAGUGUCUGAAGUUGUCCUCAGAAGUUUCUGAGGUAUCCAAACCCUUGUCUAACUUCACAGGCAUCCUAUUCUUUGGAAAACUGUUGCUUUUAAAUAUGUGAUAUCAUUUAUGUUGAUAAAGGCAUCUCCAGGAGACAUGUUCUACCAAGUGUUUGCAUGUGUAGAAGAUGCAGUCUUCAUAUUCUAAUGGUUGGCAAUCCUGCCUGUGGCAGGGGGAUUAGAAUUGGUUGAUCUUUGAGGUCCCUACCAAACCAAGACAUUCUAUAAUUCUAUCAAAUUCACUACUGAAUAGACAAGAUUUAUAUUCAAUUUAUAUUUUAUUUACCAAAGCAUUAGCAUGUAGUAUAGAAUAGGAUUUGAAGAACUUGUACAUUAAGCUUGUAUCUUUAAGGGUCCAAAUCACCACCAAAUUUUAGAUCGAUUCACAUAAGAAUUAAAAUUCAGCUAAUUUCUAAGUAUUCAAUAGG